UCGUGUCGUGAGAUGUUGGGUUAAGUCCCGCAACGAGCGCAACCCUCACCUCUUGUUGCCACCAGGUCAUGCUGGGCACUCUAGAGGAACUGCCCCGGUCAACGGGGAGGAAGGCGGGGAUGACGUCAAGUCAUCAUGCCCCUUACGUCCUGGGCUACACACGUGCUACAAUGGCCGGUACAAAGGGGUGCCACACCGCGAGGUAGAGCUAAACCCAAAAAGCCGGUCUAAGUUCAGAUUGGAGUCUGCAACUCGACUCCAUGAAGGAGGAAUCGCUAGUAAUCGC
rnacentral:rRNA from 1 species